UCCGGUGGGCAUAGUAAGAAGGAAACACCCGUUCCCAUUCCGAACACGGUAGUUAAGCUUCUUACGCCGAUGGUACUGACGAAAGUUGGGAGAGUAGGUUACUGCCGGGA
rfam:Candidatus Brocadia sinica JPN1 DNA, contig: brosiA.